rnacentral:rRNA from 1 species
AGAACGAACGCUGGCGGCAUGCCUAAUACAUGCAAGUCGAACGAACACUUCGGUGUUAGUGGCGCACGGGUGCGUAACGCGUGGGAAUCUGCCCUUGGGUUCGGAAUAACAGUUGGAAACGACUGCUAAUACCGGAUGAUAUCGAAAGAUCAAAGAUUUAUCGCCCAGGGAUGAGCCCGCGUAGGAUUAGCUAGUUGGUGAGGUAAAGGCUCACCAAGGCGACGAUCCUUAGCUGGUCUGAGAGGAUGAUCAGCCACACUGGGACUGAGACACGGCCCAGACCUCCUACGGGAGGCAGCAGUAGGGAAUAUUGGACAGUGGGCGCAAGGCCUGAUCCAGCAAUGCCGCGUGAGUGAUGAA